rnacentral:rRNA from 1 species
AGGAGCCGAUGAAGGACGUGAUAAGCUGCGAUAAGCUUCGGGGAGUUGCACGUAAACUUUGAUCCGAAGAUUUCCGAAUGAGGAAACUCACUUAGAGUAAUGUCUAAGUAUCAUUAAGUGAAUACAUAGCUUAAUGAGGGGAACUCAGGGAACUGAAACAUCUAAGUACCUGAAGGAAGAGAAAGAAAUUCGAUUCCGUAAGUAGCGGCGAGCGAACGCGGAUUAGCCCAAACCAAUAAAGUUUUCUUUAUUGGGGUUGAGGACAUACCACAUAUAAGAGGUCAUUAUAGACGAAGAAGUUUGGAAAAACUCAUCAUAGAAGGUAAUAAUCCUGUAGUCAAAAUAAUAAUUCUUUAGGUAUGAUCCAGAGUACCACGGGACACGUGAAACCCUGUGGGAAGCAGGAGGGACCACCCUCCAAGGCUAAAUACUACCUAGUGACCGAUAGCGUAUAGUACCGUGAGGGAAAGGUGAAAAGAACCCCGGGAGGGGAGUGAAAUAGAACCUGAAACCCUGCACUUACAAGCUGUGGAAGCACAUUUCUUGUGUGACCGCGUACUUUUUGUAGAACGGGCCAACGAGUUACGUUAAGUAGCAAGGUUAAGCA